rnacentral:rRNA from 1 species
GACGAACGCUGGCGGCGUGCUUAACACAUGCAAGUCGAACGGAAAGGCCCUGCUUUUGUGGGGUGCUCGAGUGGCGAACGGGUGAGUAACACGUGAGUAACCUGCCCUUGACUUUGGGAUAACUUCAGGAAACUGGGGCUAAUACCGGAUAGGAGCUCCUGCUGCAUGGUGGGGGUUGGAAAGUUUCGGCGGUUGGGGAUGGACUCGCGGCUUAUCAGCUUGUUGGUGGGGUAGUGGCUUACCAAGGCUUUGAAGGGUAGCCCGCCUGAGAGGGUGACCGGCCACAUGGGGACUGAGAUACGGCCCAGACUCCUACGGGAGGCAGCAGUGGGGAAUAUUGCACAAUGGGCGGAAGCCUGAUGCAGCAACGCCGCGUGCGGGAUGACGGCCUUCGGGUUGUAAACCGCUUUCGCCUGUGACGAAGCGUGAGUGACGGUAAUGGGUAAAGAAGCACCGGCUAACUACGUG